GACGAACGCUGGCGGCGUGCCUAAUACAUGCAAGUCGAACGAGAAAUUCUUACACCGGAUGCUUGCAUCCACCGUAAGAUUUCGAGUGGCGGACGGGUGAGUAACACGUGGGUAACCUGCCCAAAAGAAGGGGAUAACAUUUGGAAACAAGUGCUAAUACCGUAUAACCAUGAUGACCGCAUGGUCAUGAUGUAAAAGGUGGUUUUGCUAUCGCUUUUGGAUGGACCCGCGGCGUAUUAACUAGUUGGUAAGGUAACGGCUUACCAAGGUGAUGAUACGUAGCCGAACUGAGAGGUUGAUCGGCCACAAUGGGACUGAGACACGGCCCAUACUCCUACGGGAGGCAGCAGUAGGGAAUCUUCCACAAUGGGCGCAAGCCUGAUGGAGCAACGCCGCGUGAAUGAAGAAGGUCUUCGGAUCGUAAAGUUCUGUCCUCAAGGAAGAUAAUGACGGUACUUGAGGAGGAAGCCCCGGCUAACUACGUGCCAGCCGCCGCAGUAACAC
rnacentral:rRNA from 1 species